rnacentral:rRNA from 1 species
AAUUACUGGGCGUAAAGGGUGUGUAGGCGGCAAUCAAGUCAACGUGUGAAAUCCCUUGGCUAAACUGAGGGAUGUACGUGGAAACUGAUUGGUUCGAGGAACGUAGAGGAAGGCGGAUCUCUCGGAGUAGCGGUGAAAUGCGUAGAGACCGAGAGGUACCCCGAUGGUGAAGACAGCUUUCUGGGCGUUUCCUGACGCUGAAGCGCUAAGGCCAGGGGAGCGAAGGGGAUUAGAUACCCCCGUAGUCCUGGCUUCAAACGAUGUGGGCUUGGUGUCGGCUCCCGAUAGAGAGUCGUUGCCGGAGUUAACGCGUUAAGCCCACCGCCUGGGGAUUACGUCCGCAAGGAUGAAACUCAAGGGAAUUGACGGGGGCCCACACAACCGGUGGAGCACGUGGUUUAAUUUGAUGAUAAGCGAAGAACCUUACCAGGGCUUGACCUAGCGGUAGUAGGACUCUGAAAGGGGAACGACCUCAAGCUUUGCUUGAGGAGCCGUGGCAGGUAUUGCAUGGCUGUCGUCAGCUCGUGUCGUGGGACGUUGGGUUAAGUCCCGUAACGAGCGCAACCCCUGCCCUUAAUUGCCAGCGGGUAAUGCCGGGGACUAUAAGGGGACUGCCGGAGAAUAUCCGGAGGAAGGAGGGGAUGACGUCAAGUCAUUAUGAUCCUUAUGCUGUGGGCGACACACGUGCUACAAUGGGCACUACAAUGAGGAGCAAAUCCGCAAGGACGAGCAAAUCUCAAAAAGGUGCCCCCAGUGCGGAUUGGGGUCUGCAACCCGUCCCCAUGAAGAUGGAAUCGG